CUAGUACUCUCUCUGUUCUAAAUUAUUUGUCGUAGGUAUGGAUGUAUCUAGAUGUAUUUUAGUUCUCAAUACAUCCAUUUCUGGGACGAGUAAUUUGGAACGGAGGGAGUAGUAU
rnacentral:pre_miRNA from 1 species